UCCCCUGUAGCUCAGUCGGUAGAGCGCGUGACUGUUAAUCACUAGGUCCCUGGUUCGAGCCCAGGCGGGGGAG
rnacentral:tRNA from 1 species